rnacentral:rRNA from 1 species
UACGAAGUGGGCUAGCGUUGCUCGGAAUCACUGGGCGUAAAGGGUGCGUAGGCGGGUUUUUAAGUCAGGGGUGAAAUCCUGGAGCUCAACUCCAGAACUGCCUUUGAUACUGAAGAUCUUGAGUUCGGGAGAGGUGAGUGGAACUGCGAGUGUAGAGGUGAAAUUCGUAGAUAUUCGCAAGAACACCAGUGGCGAAGGCGGCUCACUGGCCCGGUACUGACGCUGAGGUGCGAAAGCGUGGGGAGCAAACAGG